AAACCUGCUGAAUUUAAGCAUAUAAGUAAGUGGUGGAAAUUAAACCAAAUGGGAUUUCUUUAGUAAUUGCGAAUGAACAAGGAUAUGCUUAGCUUGACAAAUGGAGCUUUUGGCUUUGAGUUGUAUUGUGGAAAUGUACCACCAACAGAGGUGCAAGUGUCAGCCAUUUGAAAGAAAGCGUCAAUGAGGGUGAGAAUCCUGUUUGUCAUGUGCAGCCCUCUGUGCACGGUGUAUAUUUGCUGAGUCACACUCCUUGGCAUUGGAAUGCAAAGUGGGUGGUAAGUUUCAUACAAAGGUAAAUAUGCAAUUGAGACUGAUAGCACACAAGUACCAUGAGGGAAAUAUGAAAAA
rnacentral:rRNA from 1 species